CUCCGGUUGAUCUCCGAGUUGACCAAACAUCCUUAAUUUUCCUGCCCCUCCCCCUUCUCUCUCUCUCGAUCUCGAAAGGCCGCGCCCGCAAAAAACCCUAUUUAACCCCUAAAUCCCAAAACAUUGAAAAGCCCUAACAAUGGCUUCAAUUUUACUUUGAUAUCGCGUUCCAUCGAUAGUAUCGAGAAAUAAGAAAUCUAAUGGGCGAUCUUUUAGCUAAGACUUUGACAAAGAAUCCAUCAUCUCUUCUCAAUGUAUAAUCGCCGAUCAGUCCGCGGAGGCCAUGGCUGUUGCGGCAGAGUCUCCGGAUGAGGCUGCCAUUGCGAGUUCGGAGAGGAAAGGCUGGAGAUUUUUUUUAAAUAUGGGCUCAUUGCC
rnacentral:misc_RNA from 1 species